CAGCCGCCGCGGUAAUACGUAGGGUGCGAGCGUUAAUCGGAAUUACUGGGCGUAAAGCGUGCGCAGGCGGUUAUAUAAGACAGUUGUGAAAUCCCCGGGCUCAACCUGGGAACUGCAUCUGUGACUGUAUAGCUAGAGUACGGUAGAGGGGGAUGGAAUUCCGCGUGUAGCAGUGAAAUGAGUAGAUAUGCGGAGGAACACCGAUGGCGAAGGCAAUCCCCUGGACCUGUACUGACGCUCAUGCACGAAAGCGUGGGGAGCAAACAGGAUUAGAUACCCCUGUAGUCCCUGUCUCUUAUAA
rnacentral:rRNA from 1 species